GACGAACGCUGGCGGCGUGCUUAACACAUGCAAGUCGAACGGAAAGGCCCUGCGUUUGUUGGGUUCUCGAUUGGCGCACGGGUGAGUGACACAUGUGUAACCUCUCCUUGACUUUGUGGUAACUUUACGAAACUGGGGCUAAUAUCCGAUAGAAUCUCCUGCUGCACGUUGGGGGUUGGAAAGUUUCGGCUGUUGUGGCUGUUCUCGCGGCUUAUCAGCUUCUUGGUGGGGUUGUGGCUUACAAAGGAUUUGACGGCUAGCCGGCCUGAGAGCGUGACCGGCCACAUGGGUCCUGAGAGACGGAGCAGAAGGCAACGGGAGGCAGUAGGGGAGAACAUGGCACAACGGGGGGAAGUGUGAUGCAGAGACGCCGGGUGCGGGAUGACGGCUUACUGGGUGUAAACCGAUGUCGAAUGUGCCGAAGCGUGAGUGACGGUAACGAGUAAGGAAGCAACGGCUAACUACGUG
rnacentral:rRNA from 1 species